ACCAGGUGUGGUGACGCACACCUGUAAUCUCAGCUAUUCAGAAGGCAGAGGCAGGAGGCCAGCAAGUUUUAGGCCAGCCUGAACAACUUGGCCAGACUCUGUCUCAA
rnacentral:sRNA from 1 species